rnacentral:rRNA from 1 species
GCUAGUAAUGGCAGGUCAGCAUACUGCCGUGAAUACGUUCCCGGGCCUUGUACACACCGCCCGUCACACCAUGAGAGUUGGGAAUACCCGAAGCCUGUGAGCUAACAUUAUGAGGCAGCAGUCGAAGGUAGAAUCAAUGAUUGGGGUGAAGUCGUAACAAGGUAGC